UACGUAGGGGGCAAGCGUUGUCCGGAAUUAUUAGGCGUAAAGAGCUCGUAGGCGGUUUGUCGCGUCUGCUGUGAAAACUCGGGGCUUAACCCCGGGCCUGCAGUGGGUACGGGCAGACUAGAGUGCGGUAGGGGAGACUGGAAUUCCUGGUGUAGCGGUGAAAUGCGCAGAUAUCAGGAGGAACACCGGUGGCGAAGGCGGGUCUCUGGGCCGUAACUGACGCUGAGGAGCGAAAGCGUGGGGAGCGAACAGG
rnacentral:rRNA from 1 species